AUUGAACGCGGGCGGCAGGCUUAACACAUGCAAGUCGAGCGGAGAUGAGGUGCUUGCACCUUAUCUUAGCGGCGGACGGGUGAGUAAUGCUUAGGAAUCUGCCUAUUAGUGGGGGACAACAUUCCGAAAGGAAUGCUAAUACCGCAUACGCCCUACGGGGGAGAGCAGGGGAUCUUCGGACCUUGCGCUAAUUGAUGAGCCUAAGUCGGAUUAGCUAGUUGGUGGGGUAAAGGCCUACCAAGGCGACGAUCUGUAGCGGGUCUGAGAGGAUGAUCCGCCACACUGGGACUGAGACACGGCGCAGACUCCUACGGGAGGCAGCAGUGGGGAAUAUUGGACAAUGGGCGGAAGCCUGAUCCAGCCAUGCCGCGUGUGUGAAGAAGGCCUUUUGGUUGUAAAGCACUUUAAGCGAGGAGGAGGCUACCUGGAUUAAUACUCUAGGAAAGUGGACGUUACUCGCAGAAUAAGCACCGGCUAACUCUGUGCCAGCCGCCGCAGUAACAC
rnacentral:rRNA from 1 species